rnacentral:rRNA from 1 species
ACGGAGGUUCCAAGCGUUGUUCGGAAUUACUGGGCGUAAAGGGAGCGCAGGCGGAUAGGUCAGUUCAAAGUGGAAUCCCAGGGCUCAACCCUGGACGUGCUUUGGAUACUGCCUAUCUUGAGUUCGUGAGAGGAAAGUGGAAUUCAGGGUGUAGCGGUGAAAUGCUUAGAUAUCCUGAGGAACACCAGUGGCGAAAGCGACUUUCUGGCACGAAACUGACGCUGAGGCUCGAAAGCAUGGGUAGCGAACGGG